CGUAGGGUGCGAGCGUUGUCCGGAAUUAUUGGGCGUAAAGGGCUCGUAGGCGGUUUGUCGCGUCGGGAGUGAAAUCCACUGGCUUAACUGGUGGCUUGCUUUCGAUACGGGCAGACUGGAGGUAUGCAGGGGAGAACGGAAUUCCUGGUGUAGCGGUGAAAUGCGCAGAUAUCAGGAGGAACACCGGUGGCGAAGGCGGUUCUCUGGGCAUGUCCUGACGCUGAGGAGCGAAAGUGUGGGGAGCGAACAGGAUUAGAUACCCUGGUAGUCCACACCGUAAACGUUGGGCGCUAGGUGUGGGAUCCAUUCCACGGGUUCCGUGCCGCAGCUAACGCAUUAAGCGCCCCGCCUGGGGAGUACGGCCGCAAGGCUA
rnacentral:rRNA from 1 species